rnacentral:rRNA from 1 species
CGCGUAGGCGGUUGGUACAGUCAGACGUGAAAUUCCUGGGCUCAACCUGGGGGCUGCGUUUGAUACGUGCUGGCUUGAGUGAGGAAGAGGGUCGUGGAAUUCCCAGUGUAGAGGUGAAAUUCGUAGAUAUUGGGAAGAACACCGGUGGCGAAGGCGGCGACCUGGUCCUUGACUGACGCUGAGGCGCGAAAGCGUGGGGAGCAAACAGGAUUAGAUACCCUGGUAGUCCACGCUGUAAACGAUGUGCGCUGGAUGUUGGCCGGCCUAGCCGGUCAGUGUCGAAGCUAACGCGGUAAGCGCACCGCCUGGGGAGUACGGCCGCAAGGUUGAA